GUGGGCAGAAGAGCCUGUCCGGUACUGGAGCCCGUCCAUGAAAGGAGGCCGGAGCCAGGCAGGUGUGUGCUCAGGCUCCAUGUUGUUGCCCAGCUUUGGGCCAGGAUUGGAGAACCCGCCUCAGCCCAGAGAAGCCCUGAUUAAAACAGUACAGCCUGGCCAUUCGAGGAGUCCCCAGUCACCAGAGGACACUGCACAUGGAACCACUGUUCCACCUCGGGUUCUUCUCACCAGCCAUCUCCCCUCCAAAUCACCAAGACUCCAGAUGGAGCUAUCAGCUUUCAAGCAGUGUGGGAGACUGAGGAGAAGCCCAGUAAACCUCUCCAGAGGGAGGCAACCAGCACAAUCCAGAUGGGCAAAUGCCACUGGGCAGAAACCCAGCUCUGUCCAAACUAUGCCUGGUAGGGCCAAAUGAGGGAGGGAGGAAGGACCCCAAUGAGUCAAAUCGACCAAGGGCAAUGCGUGGAUUGUGUGUGGAUCCUGAUGUGAACACAAAUGGAAACACCAUGUUGAAGGUGGAGCCGCUACUUCGGGCCCACAAAGAGACAAGUUUGAGACCCAAACACACUUGCUAAAACCGGCCAAGCAGGAAGAUGGAGUUUGAGCCCCACAGUGGCAUGUGGAGUUGCUGCAUCAAACUUGGAGGCCCUAAUACCAGCUUUUUUGACAUGUGAGAAAAAAAUUCGGUGUCUGAUGAAGAAAAAGAAGAAGAAGCAGGGGAA